GCUGAUCCGUUUGCUACGUUUGGUCACAAGUAGCUGUGCCAGUAGUUUUUAUUCGAUGCGCGCUUGUUCAGCUGCCCUGUCGUGGCUCUGCCUGCAGCAUGGAGGAAGGAAAAACACUACUGUGUUUUCCUUCCUGCAUGGCGUGCAGAGCAGACUUUGACUAGCGAUCACGUGUUGGGCCAUCAAGUUUGGCUUCAUUCGCGUUGCGCGAUGCUCCCUCCUAACGUGUUUCUUACUCCACGAGAAAAUAGAUACGCUAGCGCUGCUCCCAUAGAGUUUCUCCAUAGAGUGGCUCCGUAGUCGUUGCACAUGCGUUAGCUGAGAGAAGGUGAGCAAGGAGAACGAUUGUACCCAUAGAGUUUCUCACACAUCACGUUGUUUUUUUCUUUUUUUGCAACAGCUACUGAACUCGGGCAAUAUGGCUCGAAUGUCGUUCGCGCGCGCACCGUAGGCAUGAUCUUGUAGCUCGCUUUUUGUUUUUUGCGCAUGUUUAAUAUAGAAGUAAGUUGCGGACACAGCAGUGGGAUGGAUGGAUGGAUGGCGGCUACACCCUUUGUAACGGGCGGCGGCUGGCGCCACCUAGCCUUUUGCUCCCCCUCCUAUUUUUUUUCUUUAUAUCCCCUUCUCCUUAAACUAGUUUUCACUCCCCUCCUCCCCUCAAAAUAAAUAUCUAAAAUAGUAUAGAAAACAUUAGCUCCCCGAUUUAUGGUAUUAUCUCUCCCUUGACUUCCUCCACCAAUCCUCUAGCCUCCCCUUCGUUACUGCUACUCUUUUUUCGUCUAUUUGCCCUCGUUCCCCGGGAAAAUCUAAUGCUCCUUCCAUGUCUGUCACUGUUCCCUCAGCCAGAGUCGGGCGAAGGUCUGUGCAUCUCAGCACUAUAUGCUCUGUGGUCUCAAUUCCGGCUCCGCAAGCUGUGCACAAAAGGUCUACGUCUUCAAAUUUAGCCCUGUAUGUUUUUGUUCUCAAAACCCCCGUCCUUGCUUCGAAUAAUAGUGAGCUGCCCCGCGAGUUAUCAAAUAAGAGCUCUCUCUUUAUCUCCUGUUUUUGUGUUAGCGCUGACUUUCCGAGCAUUCUUUCUUCCCACAUUUUUCUUUCCGUCUCCUUCACCUCCUUUCCAACACUUGAACCACGUUGGACCCCCUCCCUCGGCUGUAGGCAUCUAAGUUGUUCUUUAUUCUAUGAUCUACUCCUAGCUGAGCUUCCUAAUUCUAAGUGUCCACUUUGUGUUCAAACUUUUCAUGCAUAGAUAUUUGUACACUUUUCCCGCCCACCUUUUUCCUCCAGUGCUGGGAGUCUCUGUUCAUAUUUUAGCUUACUUGUUGCCUCUCUACCUUCGAAUGAAGUCCAUCCCAUGUCCCCCUGCACUACCUCAUUAGGGGUGUUCCCGUGCGCUCCUAAGGCCAACCUGCCUGCACUUCUCUGUCUUGUUUCCAUGCAUGCCCAAACUUCCGAUUUCAUGCACUGCAGUACUGAAUUUCCGAAUGUGAGGCCAGGUACCAUAACCCCUUUCCAUACCCCUCUAACCACCUCAUACCUAUUAUAGUUCCAUAGUGCCUUGUGUUUCAUCACAGCUGAGUUCCUUUUCACUUUUCCAAUCAUAAUUUUUUCAUGUUCUUCCAAGUACUUUUUGCCCUCGUUUAGCCAUAUACCCAAAUACUUGUAUUUUUCAACAUGAUCAAUCUUAGUGCCUUGUAUUUCCAAUGGUACCCCCCUUUCUUCAUUGUAUACUAUUAUCCCAGACUCCUCUCUACUGAAUUGCAGUCCCAAUUUUUCUCCCUCCUCUCCACAUAUCCUCAUUAGUUCCUGUAGCCCUACUCCGGUGUCAGCGAGCAGUACAAUAUCAUCUGCAUACAUCAGUCCGGCUAGUACUUGAGCUACCUUCUGCCCUUCCAGCAUAUAGCUUAUGUCGGUUCCUAUUGUGCUCUGUUCUAGCCUCUUUUCCAUUUGGCUCAUGUAAAUCAUAAAAAGCAGGGGCGACCAUGGACAGCCCUGCCUGAGACCACUUCUUAUUUUAGCUGGCUUUGUAGUUUCCCCCUCCCAUGUUAUCUCUACCUCAUUAUCUGUAUAAACUUGUAGGAAUCCAACCACCUUUCUAUCUAGACCAUAUUCCUUCAACUGGCUCCAUAACCAGGGCCAGGGCUUGAUGACAUAUGUUGCCCAGCUACCGGUGCUACGGUUCUUUAUUCACCGCGACACACUUGGAGAAAAGGUGAGUGUCAUGCGAUUACCCGUUCUCUUCCUUGCUAAUACUUGUACAAAUUGGUUGCGCAUUCGAGCUGUGGUCGAUGUGUUCUCGAAAUUCGAAGGAACACGAUACGGUUGUCGCAGGUCUUGCAGCGAUCGCAGGAUAAUUGAUUCGUUCGUGCCUUCAACAAUUAUUAUUCAUAUGCGUUGCACCGAUGUAAAAAGAACGGCGGGAGCUUCCACGCGCCAGCAACGCAUGCACUCAACUAGUGUGAAUGUCAUCCUGUGAUAUUUGUCUCGUGCGUAGGUCUUUUUUUUUUUUUUUCUCCAUCUCUGUAUCUCUGUAGGAUGACUACGCUAUGCGCCUCUUUACCCAUGCAACACAUGGCUGCAUUUAAUUACAUUUUUACUGCUUGCACUGAGGCUUUCUCACUGCUUGUCAGAGGCUUUCAUUUGUUGCAGUGAGAUAACGAAAGCAUAUUUUUAUCACUUAAAGCUUCUUAGCAGCUCUUUUGGGAGCCGUAGAGUUGAGUCAUGCACUGUGUACGUUGUGAGCGAGCCGGUAAACAAAACCACUUUACUGCUGCUGUCGCUUUUACGGGAACCUUUAAAAUUUAACAUAUAUAUAUAUGAGUGUAUGAAUUGGCGCACCAAGCUUUCUAUACACGUCCGUUACUUUCGUUCAUGGAUCAUAUACGCAGCUUUGCAGCUGUGAUCGACAUUGUAAAAACAGCAAGAAGGCAGAUGACACAAAUAGUGUGUCUGUUAGAGCUGUUUUUAAAAUAUCAACCAACUCCAUGCACUCGUGGUGUUUACAGCUAAAACAUUUUUUUUUUUCUUGUUGCACGAGGAGCAUUUGCUUCUAAAUGUGGCAGUAACGUGAAUUGACCUCGGCCCUGAUCGCUGGCUGUGUGCAAAUUUCUCUAAUUUGUUUCACUGUACUGCUGUCUUUACAGCUUCUGGUUAUUUCCGCUGCCUGCACCGUUUAUUUGUUGUGUUUAUAGAGAUCUGGCCUGUUUCUUCCUCAUUGAAGACAAAUGAACACAAGUACUGCUUGCUGUUGGUUUGCUCAGUCUGAACCUGAGCACCUGUCUUCACUCGAGGUCGCAUUUGAAAUUCUGUUGUUACGUUCGACCUGCGGGGGCUGGCAAUCUUUGGGGAAGUGACCGUCGAUACCUGCCCGGCCCACUUCGGCGACUCGCUUUGUAAAGACUACAAUACACUGCUUCCCCAGCUGUGCGGCGCCGGGAUGUCUACACGCGGUCUGCAGACCAAGUAUUGUUCGUAGGUUCGCCGUCAUGGUUUGUUUGGAGCGGGGGAACUCCUGGAAGAAGAUGCUUUGCGGCGCCGUCUCAUGGGUCUUAGAAGUCGUCAGUCAAUGGACAGGCGCGGCGGCCACUGACUGCAGGGUCAACUCUGGGAUCAAGGGGCACCUGCUUGGGUCAAGACCUCUGUCUGCGAGAACCCUCUCACCUCGGUGUGUUCAGUGAAACCUGUGCGGAAGUGAGUGUGUAAACCCUCCCCCUCAAAGGUGGGUCGGGGACGAUGACUUUGGACGCUCCCAUUGGUCAAAGGUUGAACGGCCGUUUUCCCUCACCUAGGGAUCUAGGGAGGACAGAGUGUUUAUAAGCAGCCGUUGUUGGCUGUUUAGUGUGCAUUCUCUUUCAGUCAUGCUAGACUGAUGAACUGUAACAUUUUCAUGUAGAUAUUAUAAAUAAACCCCAUAUUCCUCGUU